AUGAUAGUGGUUGUAUGUUGUUUCAUGGAAGUGGGUUUCGAAUUGCAUAUGGAGUUGAAGACUAAUUCCACUGUGUUUGUAAUUGCAACCACCGGCCAACCUUUUAGGUAAUUUUGGAUUCUUUAUUUUGUUCUUAGGUUUAAUGAAGUAUUUAGGAAUCAGACUGAAGAUGUAGUGACUUUUAAUAUCAAAAUUAUGAUCAUCUGUCAUUGAUUUCCUCUAAUUUUAGUUAUAUGCUUUCAAAAGUUAGUUGUUCACGGGUGGUUGUUUAGAUCUUAUGAUCGGGUUUAACGUAGAUGGCAGUAUAUUAAUUAAAUUUGCUUUCUCAUUUUGUUAUACCCAACUGAUUGUUUCAAAGCAUGAACAAGUGUUGUGAUUAGGUACUACAAUCACAAUUUUGAGGACCAUUAUAACAGCUACAUGGCUGGUUGUGGUAAUCUUCUUAGCAACCUCUUCCCACAUUGUAGAAUUUGUAAUGUGUAAUGAUUGCAGCAACAAAUACAUGAAUUAGGGUCUUAGUUAACAUUUUUUUAACAACAAAGAUUAUACUAUAUUACUCCUCACCCCAAGAAUUGAAAUUGGGUCACUCCACAAGAGGAAAACCAUCUUGACCACUAGGCCACAUGCCUAAGUUACCUUAGUUAACAAUUGCAUUGCUAAUACGGUGCCUUUUAAAUGCAGUUUUGAUGCUAAUUUCACCCAUGUCUGUAGAGCUUUAGAAAGGGCAUUUACAAAAACCUUUAGGAGCUCUAAAGAUUCUAUACAUUGGAAUACUCUUGGGAUGACUGUUGACCCAUUUGGCCCGUUAAGAGAUAAUGCAAAGUUCCAUGAGAUAUAUUCUGGUUCUUGGAAUGACGUCUGAUGGCGGUCAUAUGCCUUUUAGAAACUCUCUUGAUGGAAAUUUAGAUGUGGAGCCUUUGUUAUGCACAUAUUAUUGGCCCAUAGCAUGGCAGCCAAACUAUAUCAUCAUUAUUUCCAAGCAAUUAACCAACUCAAAGUCAAUUUUUAAGUUUUAGUUGAACAUUUUAAAUUUGGUAAGUUGACUUAUUGGGUGGUAUGUGCAGCCUACACAAGGUGGCUCAAUUGGACUAACUGUUUACGCUUACAUGUAUCAACCGCUAACAGAUAGUGAAGUUGAUUGUUUGUAAAGGGGCCGAAGCAAAGGUUUUUAAAUGAGCUUAUCUAAUGCAGGUCUGUUGAAUAUGGACAAAGAUUAAAGUUGCAUCUUGAUUAUUCGAGAAUGCCUAUAAAUAAAAAAAGACACAUCACAUGGCAGAAGAGCCAACAGUGGUGGUGGUUUGGAGUGUGUUCAUGCAUAAUUUUUGCUACAAGAUCACCUCAUGGCCCUUGCCCUAUUGCUCUUACGGUUGCUAAAGGGCUGGCAUUGGAUAUUCCGAAAUAUUUAUCAACUUUAUUGAUGUUAAAGUAGAAGAACAGAGACAGAAAUCUUUGGAUUUGAUAAAUAACACGAAGAACAUGUCUUAAUCUUCAUACUUCAAAGGACGCUAUGAUAAACAAUGAUGGGAUGCUCUAUAUAUCCAACUGUUUCAACUUGCACUGCCAGCAGUAGCUAACUCCGCUUGCUGGUUGGAUAUAUAAUCCGCUAACUAUAUAUCAUCUAAUGGUUUUUGGUAGUGCAAUUGGUCUCGGUAGUUCGUCUAUUUCAGUAUUCAAGGGCAAAAUGAAGUUUACUGAUGGAAUGUGUCGAUGCUUAACCUAAGGAGCUUCAGCAAAGUAAACAAAAGCGUAGUGAGGGUGGCAAAUGAAAAUGUUCAAGGGCUUAUGACCCAUUUGGCAUGUUCAGUAACAGUAUUCAUUUGAUCCAGAGCAUAUUCGAAAUGGCACAAGAAAAAGGGGUAGAACCGGUCAAAUGGGAUUUUCAAUUAGGUGUGGCUCCUGGUUUUGUUAGUUAAGGAAGGCGUAGUUGAUUGGCUUCACG
rnacentral:lncRNA from 1 species